UUAUUGGAGAGUUUGAUCCUGGCUCAGGACGAACGCUGGCGGCGUGCCUAACACAUGCAAGUCGAACGGAGAAUUUUAUUUCGG
rnacentral:rRNA from 1 species